rnacentral:rRNA from 1 species
UACGUAGGGUGCGAGCGUUGUCCGGAAUUAUUGGGCGUAAAGAGCUCGUAGGCGGUGUGUUACGUCGGCCGUGAAAACCUGCAGCUUAACUGUGGGCGUGCGGUCGAUACGGGCAUCACUGGAGUUCGGCAGGGGAGACUGGAAUUCCUGGUGUAGCGGUGAAAUGCGCAGAUAUCAGGAGGAACACCGGUGGCGAAGGCGGGUCUCUGGGACGGUACUGACGCUGAGACGCGAAAGCGUGGGGAGCGAACAGG